AAGGUUUGUCUCUGAGCUGAGUAUAACUUUUAUUGGUAAGCGGCACAUUUCACAAUUUGUUCUCAUAAUUACUAAGUAUUGCCAAUAAAACUUUAUAAAUGGGUAAGUAAUGAAGAAAACGUCCUCUGGACAGCUUAAAUAUGUGAAAAAUGAAUUAUUAUUACAUUAUGUCUGAAUUUACCAAAAUAAUAAUCUCGUCUGAAUAAGAGCUUCAACCAUAAUCCCAUAUUGUCCUUUGUAUGUUUCAGUGAUUUUGCCAGUCUUCAUCGCCACCAUUGUCGUCUUCCUGGUGCUAGUAUGUGCUCUACUCUUUGUUAUCAGGGCUCAGAGGACUCAACACAACCUGCUUAAGAGUCAGAGGUCAGGUAACACCAGCACAGUUGCCAUGAGCCAACAUCUACCAAGUGGAGAAGGAAAUGAGGAACCCAACAAUACAGAUGAGGACAUUUAUGUCAACACCUAUGAGCUGAAGAAACCAGGUGUCACCCAACCUGCAACUACCUCUGAGCCAAUCAGCACCAACUUACCAAGCUCAAGCAGA